rnacentral:rRNA from 1 species
UGCCAGACUCCUACGGGAGGCAGCAGUGGGGAAUAUUGGGCAAUGGGCGCAAGCCUGACCCAGCAACGCCGCGUGAAGGAAGAAGGCUUUCGGGUUGUAAACUUCUUUUCUCAGGGACGAAGAAAGUGACGGUACCUGAGGAAUAAGCCACGGCUAACUACGUGCCAGCAGCCGCGGUAAUACGUAGGGGGCAAGCGUUAUCCGGAUUUACUGGGUGUAAAGGGAGCGUAGACGGCAUGGCAAGUCUGAUGUGAAAACCCGGGGCUCAACCCCGGGACUGCAUUGGAAACUGUCAGGCUAGAGUGUCGGAGAGGCAAGUGGAAUUCCUAGUGUAGCGGUGAAAUGCGUAGAUAUUAGGAGGAACACCAGUUGCGAAGGCGGCUCUCUGGACUGUAACUGACACUGAGGCACGAAAGCGUGGGGAGCAAACAGGAUUAGAUACCCUCGUA